GACGAACGCUGGCGGCGUGCUUAACACAUGCAAGUCGAACGGAAAGGCCCUGCUUUUGUGGGGUGCUCGAGUGGCGAACGGGUGAGUAACACGUGAGUAACCUGCCCUUGACUUUGGGAUAACUUCAGGAAACUGGGGCUAAUACCGGAUAGGAGCUCCUGCUGCAUGGUGGGGGUUGGAAAGUUUCGGCGGUUGGGGAUGGACUCGCGGCUUAUCAGCUUGUUGGUGGGGUAGUGGCUUACCAAGGCUUUGACGGGUAGCCGGCCUGAGAGGGUGACCGGGCACAUGGGGACUGAGAUACGGCCCAGACUCCUACGGGAGGCAGCAGUGGGGAAUAUUGCACAAUGGGCGGAAGCCUGAUGCAGCAACGCCGCGUGCGGGAUGACGGCCUUCGGGUUGUAAACCGCUGUCGCCUGUGACGAAGCGUGAGUGACGGUAAUGGGUAAAGAAGCACCGGCUAACUACGUG
rnacentral:rRNA from 1 species